CCUACGGGUGACAGCAGUGGGGAAUAGUGCGCAAUGGGCGAAAGCCUGACGCAGCGACGCCGCGUGAGGGAUGAAGGUCUUCGGAUCGUAAACCUCUGUCAGCAGGGAAGAACGGUCACGGUGCUAAGCAGCAGUGAAUUGACGGUACCUGCAAAGGAAGCACAGGCUAACGCCGUGCCAGCAGCCGCGGUAAUACGGAGGGUGCGAGCGUUAAUCGGAAUUACUGGGCGGAAAGCGCUCGUAGGCGGUAGUUCAAGUCAAGGGUGAAAUCCCCGCGCUCAACGUGGGAACUGCCUUUGAAACUGGCAACCUGGAGUGUGUUAGAGGUUAGUGGAAUUCCAGGUGUA
rnacentral:rRNA from 1 species